rfam:Triticum aestivum genome assembly, contig: Triticum_aestivum_CS42_TGACv1_scaffold_556459_7AL
AGAGUACUCCCUCCGUUCCAAAUUACUCGUCGUAGAAAUGGAUGUAUCUAAAACUAAAAUACAUCUAGAUACAUCCAUACCCGCGACAAGUAAUUCGGAACGGAGGGAGUACAUU